rnacentral:rRNA from 1 species
CGGGUGAGUAGCACGUGGGUACCUACCUUGAGGUGAGGAAUACCACCGAGAAAUCGGUGACAAGACCGCAUACGCUCGUAAGAGCAAAGUCUCUUUUCGGAGAGACGCCCCAAGAUGGGCCUGCGCCUGAUUAGCUAGUUGGUGGGGUAAAAGCCUACCAAGGCCACGAUCAGUAGCUGGUCUGAGAGGAUGAUCAGCCACACUGGGAUUGAGAACGGCCCAG